GCAGGUAAAUCGGAGCGCAGUGUGUACGCCUACGGACGGGACUCUAACCCCCACUGCCACCAGUCCGGUCUCAGUGGGGACCUGGUUCUUGGGAGUCCGGGCUCGUCCUCCCCCUCCAAGAUCACCAGAGACGGACAGACCUCCAGCCAGCCCCCGAGCCAGCCGCCGAGCCAGUACUACCAGCACUGCAGCUCAAACCCCCGGAGAAGAACCCUACUCAUGGACCCCAUGGAUGGCCACACAAAAAAAGUCCGGAAAGUUCCCCCAGGCUUGCCUUCAUCGGUAAGUGGUUCUUUAUUUUUAAAACAUGUUUUAAAUGUGUUACAACAUGAUCUAAGCUUGUUUUAAAUGUG